rnacentral:misc_RNA from 1 species
GCAAACUUGGUCAUUUAGAGGAAGUAAAAGUCGUAACAAGGUUUCCGUAGGUGAACCUGCGGAAGGAUCAUUAAUGAGUUGGAACGUGGGGGCUGAUGCUGGUGCAUAUAUUUUUUGUAUGCACAUGUGCUCGCCUCCAUCCUCUUCAUCCACUCAACCCCUGUGCACUUUAUCAGAGUUAGUAGUAGUAGUAAUUGUGGUGACCAUUUGUUCUAUUCAUUGUUAGAAGGACUGAGGGGGCGGGGGGGAUAACUCCCUCCCCUCCUUCUGACGGUUGUAAUAAUAAUCAUCUUGGUUCCACUGCUACUAUGAACACUUUGACUUUAUUCAUACAAACACUUUGCUUGUCCUUGUGAAUGUGUAAUGCUCCUUGUGAGCAAAAUACAAAUAUACAACUUUCAACAACGGAUCUCUUGGCUCUCGCAUCAAUGAAGAACGCAGC